UACGUAGGGGGCAAGCGUUGUCCGGAUUUAUUGGGCGUAAAGAGCGUGUAGGCGGCUAGAUAGGUCCGUUGUGAAAACUCGAGGCUCAACCUCGAGACGUCGAUGGAAACCAUCUGGCUAGAGUCCGGAAGAGGAGAGUGGAAUUCCUGGUGUAGCGGUGAAAUGCGCAGAUAUCAGGAAGAACACCAACGGCGAAGGCAGCUCGCUGGGACGGAACUGACGCUGAGGCGCGAAAGCGUGGGGAGCGAACAGG
rnacentral:rRNA from 1 species